rnacentral:rRNA from 1 species
AGCAGCAGCCGCGGGAAUACCGAGGGUGCGAGCGUUAAUCGGAUUUACUGGGCGUAAAGCGUGCGUAGGCGGCUUCUUAAGUCGGAUGUGAAAUCCCUGAGCUUAACUUAGGAAUUGCAUUCGAUACUGGGAAGCUAGAGUAUGGGAGAGGAUGGUAGAAUUCCAGGUGUAGAGGUGAAAUGCGUAGAGAUCUGGAGGAAUACCGAUGGCGAAGGCAGCCAUCUGGCCUAAUACUGACGCUGAGGUACGAAAGCAUGGGGAGCAAACAGGAUUAGAUACCCCCGUAGUCCCUGUCUCUUAUAC